UGCACGGGGCCACAAGCUCAUGGACAGCGAGGUGUCGAGUGUCUGGGACUGCUGAUGGAGUCGGCCGGACGCGGCGCCAGGGAACAGCCACUUGGGAUGCUCGGGGGGAACGCUUGGGCUCCUGACGACGACUGACCGGGCGAUGGAGGAGUUGACGCCGACGGGUCCCGUGUCUUCCCUCCCCAUGGAAGCAGGCAGCUGCAGGCUGAGUAGGAUGAUGCACGGCGAGUAGGAGGAGAAUCUAUGGUGGAAGGCAAAGUCCAAGUGCUAAAGGGUGUGAAGGUUGCCUCAGGAGUUGUUUGGUGAAUGGGAGCAGGGCCAAAGCCACUUUUUAAAGGGAGAUAGGGGUGAGGGAGUAGACCAAGGAAGCAUGGAGGUAUGCAUUUGGAAGGGAGUUUUGAGAAGAAUAAGAUUAUGUGACUGGUUUGUCCUCUAUCACUUGCCCAGAUUGCAAUCUCUUAAUCACCUCCUGUUGUUCUAUUUUAUGGGGGGGCUUUGGAAGACAGCCUUUCCAGGUUCCUUCCAUCUCUUCCAAUUCUUGGGUAAUCUAUUCAUGCAUGCUUUUGACUACAGAAGCAAAAGCAUUAUUAACUUGGAUUUAAUGGAUUGCAUGUAUCGUCCCAGCAGAAGGCUGUGCUGCUGCUGUAGUUUCAAUCUCUUACGUCUGCAACUUUCUACUUUGUCGUGAGUCAUUUGGAUGGGAAGGGACUUCUGCUGGUCUGAAGGCAGUGACACUUAUGCUGCUGGUGCUGUUCUCUUGUCAUGCUUCGUUUUCCUUCUUGGAGUGAUACUGCCAUCUCCACAUCACCAUCCUUUUCCGCUUGUUCUGUGAAGUAGCCUUCAAUGGUCCUAUAGUUCCAUUUGCAGUGGCAUCAAUGUUAAAGAUGUGGAGUAUCUUCUCUAGAAUGAUGGAUUGAGAGCAAGCAACUAAGUGCAUGAUGAUAUGUAAAUAGAUCGCACCAACCUCAUCUAGUUUUUGGCUUAAGAUUAUACCAUACAACACUAUGUUUUUGGCAAUUUCAGAGAAGCUUAAUCUCAGUGAAGAAGAUGUUUCACAGUAAUUUGUUUCUCAUUAUUCUUUUUCUGUGGAUUCCACAUCUAUCUCUGCCUAAAAUCUGUUCCAAGACAUAUCUAUUGUACAUCCAAUUUGUACCUAUCUUGAUUUGUAUAUUU